GAUGAACGCUGGCGGCGUGCCUAAUACAUGCAAGUCGAGCGAAGAGGGGACGGGGGAGUAACACGUGUAGAACCUCCUAUAAGACGGGGAUAACUUAGGGAAACCGGAGCUAAAACGGAUAAUUAUAGCUGGAUCCGCGUUGCAUUAGCUAGGUGGGAGGGUAACGGCUUACCAAGGCAACGAUGCAUAGCCGACCUGAGAGGAUGAUCGGCCACCCGGGAACUGAGACACGGUCCAGACCCCUACGGGAGGCAGCAGUGGGGAAUCUUCCGCAAUGGGCGAAAGCCUGACGCCGCCACGCCGCGUGUGUGAUGAAGGUCUUCGGGUCGUAAAACACUUUUAUUAUGGAGGCGGUACCUAAUCAAAAAGCCCCGGCUAACUCCGUGCCAGCAGCCGCGGUAAUAC
rnacentral:rRNA from 1 species